rnacentral:tRNA from 1 species
GGUAGGAUGGCCGAAGGUCUAGGCGGCGGAUUUGUAGCUCCGAGUACAGAGGUUUAACUCCUCUUCUUACCA